GUCGAGAAUCUUCCGCAAUGGGGGCAACCCUGACGGAGCGACGCCGCGUGCGGGAGGAAGGCCUUCGGGUUGUAAACCGCUGUCACGGAUUAUGAACUGGCCGGGCGUUAAUCGCGCUCGGUCUUGACAAAGGUCCGGGAGGAAGCCACGGCUAACUUCGUGCCAGCAGCCGCGGUAAGACGAAGGUGGCGACCGUUGUUCGGAAUUACUGGGCAUAAAGCGCACGUAGGCGGCAAUGUAAGUCAGGUGUGAAAUCCCUCGGCCUAACCGAGGAAUUGCGCUUGAUACUGUGUUGCUUGAGGGCAGGAGGGGAGCGUGGAAUUCCUGGUGGAGCGGUGAAAUGCGUUGAUAUCAGGAGGAACACCGGCGGCGAAGGCGACGCUCUGGCCUGCUUCUGACGCUGAGGUGCGAAAGCCAGGGGAGCAAACGGGAUUAGAUACCCCGGUAGUCC
rnacentral:rRNA from 1 species